GAACGCUGGCGGCAGCCUAGAUGUACAGUCGAGCGCGCCUUCGGGUGAGCGGCGGACGGGUUAGUACGGAACGUGCCCAGCUCUGCGGAAUAGCCUCUGGAAACGGAGAGUAAUACCGCAUACGCCCUUUUGGGGAAAGAUUUAUCGGAGUUGGAUCGGCCCGCGUUAGAUUAGGUAGUUGGUGGGGUAAUGGCCUACCAAGCCUACGAUCUAUAGCUGGUUUUAGAGGAUGAUCAGCAACACUGGGACUGAGACACGGCCCAGACUCCUACGGGAGGCAGCAGUGGGGAAUCUUAGACAUGGGGGAAACCUGAUCUACCUGCCGCGUGAGUGAGGAAGGCCUAGGGUCGUAAAGCUCUUUCGCCAGGAAUGAUCAUGACCGUACCUGGUAAAGAAACCCCGGCUAACUCCGUGCCAGACGCCGCGGUAAUACCGAGGGGGUUAGCGUUGUCGGGAA
rnacentral:rRNA from 1 species